rnacentral:rRNA from 1 species
UACGAAGGGUGCAAGCGUUACUCGGAAUUACUGGGCGUAAAGCGUGCGUAGGUGGUGAGUUAAGUCUGUCGUGAAAGCCCCGGGCUCAACCUGGGAAUGGCGAUGGAUACUGGCUCGCUAGAGUGCGGUAGAGGAGAGUGGAAUUCCCGGUGUAGCAGUGAAAUGCGUAGAGAUCGGGAGGAACAUCAGUUGCGAAGACGGCUCUCUGGACCAGCACUGACACUGAGGCACGAAAGCGUGGGGAGCAAACAGG